rnacentral:rRNA from 1 species
UACGGAGGAUCCGAGCGUUAUCCGGAUUUAUUGGGUUUAAAGGGUGCGCAGGCGGAAGAUUAAGUCGGCGGUGAAAUUUUGCAGCUCAACUGUAAAAGUGCCAUCGAUACUGGUUUUCUUGAGUGUGGAUGGAGUAGGCGGAAUUUGUGGUGUAGCGGUGAAAUGCAUAGAUAUCACGAGGAACUCCGAUUGCGCAGGCAGCUUACUUGGCCAUAACUGACGCUCAGGCACGAAGGCGUGGGGAUCAAACAGGAUUAGAUA